GCUGACAGCGGCGAGGGCGAUCUCGGGUGCUGCGAGCGAACGGGCCGGCAGCGAGCCGUCAGCAAAGGGUGGAUUUGCGGGAGGAGAGGAAGAAAGUUGUGGGAAGCCACUCCAGUUUUGCAUGUGCAGCCUCAGAACCAAGCCUGUGUGUCUCCUGUCUGUCUCAAUUAUAGGGUUACUGCAGGCAGCAAAGACUCACAGAAAAAACAGGUUGGAAAAAAGAGCUCAGAGACCUCCUAGUUCAUCUUGCUGCCAAGACAAGACUGAAAAGUAAAUGAAGGCUCUCUCUCAGAAGGAAACAUUUGAGCUAAACAGAAUUUCAGAAGAGCACAAAAGGGGACCUGAAACCACCACACACUGGUAAAAAUGGAAGACAGAAAUAAUUACUCAGUAAUCAGUAAAAGACAGCAAUCCUAAAACCAGUGAACACCCAUGUAUCUUGUAAUUCUUUCAACAAAUAUAACUCAUAUUGAAUAAAAAGAGAUCAGUGUAUUUUACAGAUGGAUUAACUCCAGUAUGAUUGAGAGAUGAUUUCUAUGUCCAUGUUUGCUAUUUAAUUAAUUUCUUCACUCAUACCAAAUU